AACGAACGCUGGCGGCAGGCCUAACACAUGCAAGUCGAGCGCCCUUUCGGGGGAGCGGCGGACGGGUGAGUAACGCGUGGGAAUAUGCCCUUCUCUACGGAAUAGCCUCGGGAAACUGAGAGUAAUACCGUAUACGCCCUGUGGGGGAAAGAUUUAUCGGGGAAGGAUUAGCCCGCGUUGGAUUAGGUAGUUGGUGGGGUAAUGGCCUACCAAGCCGACGAUCCAUGGCUGGUUUGAGAGGAUGAUCAGCCACACUGGGACUGAGACACGGCCCAGACUCCUACGGGAGGCAGCAGUGGGGAAUCUUAGACAAUGGGGGCAACCCUGAUCUAGCCAUGCCGCGUGAGUGAUGAAGGCCUUAGGGUUGUAAAGCUCUUUCAGCUGGGAAGAUAAUGACGGUACCAGCAGAAGAAGCCCCGGCUAACUCCGUG
rnacentral:rRNA from 1 species